CGGACUACGACGACGACGGCGACGACGGCGACGACGACGACACGAGGACGACAUGUUGACGUCGGAAAAUAAGAAAAAAAGUCUAUACAAGGAGCACCACCACCGUCACGAUCAUCUUCGUUAUCGUCAUCAUCAUGAGGGGUUCGGCGUGCAGUUACACCUAUAUUUCUUAUAACCAUGUGACCUGAAAAUACAAGAAGGUAGAAGGAAGGAAAAAAAUAAAAUAAAAUAAAAAUAAAAAUAGCGAGGGUAAGAACCUGCUCGAGUUGACGUGGAAUGCCCCAUCGGUAUAUGUAUAUAUAUACACCUCUUGCAUGUACAUAUGUUGUUGGAAUCGGUUGGAAAGCUUAAAAGCAGGUAUGAGGUAGGCAGGCAGGCAGGCAAGCAGGCGAUCAGGUAUAGAGCCUUCAGGUAUAAUAACGGAGAAGAAGGAGGUGAAGGAGGAGGAGGAGUAGGAUGGCUGCAAGACCCGUGGAAACCGGGAACUGAUCCAGGAAUGCAUUCACGCACCUGACGCGCCCCGCUUUAUAGAGCUAUAGGAUAUCAAUGACGUAGUUGCACGCUUGUAAUUCUAGAAGACAAAUUAUCGACGCAUCAUUGGACCCGAGUGUAAACUGUAAAUUAAUGAAAUACAUAUUACAAACCGAAA